rnacentral:misc_RNA from 1 species
UGGGGGGGGGUGUCCAAAAAUCGUUCAUUAGGAAUAUACCUGCAUUUUAUACGUCAACAAUAUUAAUAAGAAAAAAGCAUUAGUUUUAUUCUUUUUCAGAUACGAAAUGGAGGCAAUGGAGACACAUAAACGUAAGGCCUCAUCUCCUGUGCGUUUCAAUAAAAAGAAGGUUGAGUCUAUGGUGUCAAGGGUAUAUCAAGCCAGCUGGGAGAAAACAUUUCUCUGGGUGAAACCUAAAGAAGGUAACAUACAUCUUGCCAGAUGCACGUACUGCAAUACUACACUAGCAGCCCACAAGAGUGGUCUUGAAAAACAUCAGGUUGGAGCUAAACAUAAAGGAAAUAUUCCUAAGAACUGUCAGCCCAAGAUAGGGCAAUUACUUGGCACAAACGCCGUUGCAGACAAGAUAAAGAUGGCUGAAAUCAGAUGGAGCAUCCAGGUUGGAGUUCAUCACUCCAUAAGAAUUGUUGACCAUCAGUCGAUUAUCUUGAAAGAGGAGGGGAAGGGGAGCAUUCUGGAGGAUAUUAAACUUAAAAGGAAAGAUUCUUAUCAAAGAAAAUAAUUGGAAGAAAUUCAUCUUUCAUGUUAUUACAUUCUCUGUAAAUGUUUCUUGCUAAGAAAUUUCAAUGAUUUAGGACUAAGACUACUAAAAUUCUAACAAGUGUUGUUUCUCCUGCCUUGAACGAUAGUUUAAAGGAAAAGCUGAUGGGAAAGGACUUUGCCAUUUUAAUUGACGAAUCCACUGAUGUGGCGUGUAAGAAGAUUUUAGCAGUUUGUGUCAGAUAUUACAGCGAAGAACUGGGCCAAGUAGUUGAUGAAUAUCUAGGGAUCGUUGAAGUGGUUAAAACUACAGGAGAGGAACUUUUUAAUGCUCUUCAAGAGUUUCUGCAGAAAAGUUUCAACCUCAGCUUCAAUAAUUGUCUAGCCUUUGCUUCUGAUGGAGCAAACAAUGUGGCAGGUAUAUUGUUAAUUGUAUUUCACUAGCAUUUUUUCACAAUUUUUAUUCUUUUAUUUAAUUUUUUUUACAAAAUUAGAAAAUGAAGCAGUCUACA